rnacentral:rRNA from 1 species
UACGUAAGGGGCAAGCGUUGUCCGGAAUCACUGGGCGUAAAGCGCACGUAGGCGGUUUGUCAAGUUGGGGGUGUAAGCUCUAGGCUUAACCUAGAAAUUGCCUCCAAAACUAGCAUACUUGAGUAUUAGAGGGGAAGCUGGAAUUCACGGUGUAGCGGUGAAAUGCGUAGAUAUCGUGGAGAACACCCGUGGCGAAGGCGGGCUUCUGGCUAAUUACUGACGCUGAGGUGCGAAAGCUAGGGGAGCGAACGGG